GUUGACUCACAGAGGGGCUGGGUUGAUAAUAUCGGUUUAUUAGUCUUUACCGUACUUCGACUAAUUUACAGAUUGUCCUAAACGUUUAAGUCGGCUACAUGUGAAAAAUUGAAAGAUUCAACGGAGCCUACAGACCCAUAAAAUGCUUGCGAACUGACACGGUGACCCGGGUCGGGAGUGGUUUAGAGACAAACCCUAGUUCUUCGUACCAGUUUACCCAGUUCUUGUGUCCAAACUCAUUGAUUCUCGAUACCCCAGCAUCCGUGACUACCGAUAUGGGUAUGGUUUGUAGUGCAGUGUAAUAUAUAGGUAUAAUAUACCUCAAGAACUCGUGCUGAGAAAUCAAUGCUGUGCUACGGACGUACCGCAUAUAUCAUAAUGUAGCUCAUCUCUGUAUAAUUGAAUCUUCAAAAAUUACCCAAAAUCGAUCUUACAUCAUUAAGUUGUCUUAAAAUCAGUAUAUUAUCGAUGCGUGAAAUUUUCAUCAUUACAAGAUUGAUGUUUUUUUCCUAAUUUUUUGUAUCAGGCUAAAUUUCUUAUUAUUUGACUCCGAAAUUGGCAUUUUUUACCAAGUUAUAACAAUUCAAAUCGCUGCUUACCAUUUCAGUUUAUAUUAGCUCGGGAUGAUCGUUGACCUCGACUAUCUUUAAACUGCUUCGUUUUAUCGAACACUGAAGUUGACAUCCUAAAAGCCAGCAUAUAUAGGUAGCCUGCCCAGCUGUCAUACCCACCUCCACCUCGGCCCAGGGUUUCUAUAAAACUACCGAUAUGAAGGUUUGCGACAGAAGUGCUGUUUAACAAUCAAUUACUAUGUAAAUCUGUAAGUGAAUCCUACUGUCUCUACCUACUCCUCAUAAGACAAACGACAACCCCUAAAUUUGGGGUGACGAGUACUAUGAUUGAGGCAUCGAUAUGUAUUUUAGACAAUAUAUUAUUGAUCAUUCAUUCAUUGGUAAUAUUAGGCCAUUAAUUUCAGAAAUCAAAUUUUAACGUCUGAGUUGUAACCCGAAAAAAACGGGUUGGAAUUAAAAUUUGACCACACAGGACGAGCUGCGAAGUUUUUUCUUUCUUUUUUUGUCACAAGUAACUUGUUUUUGACAUAAUUAUUCGGUAAAGAUAUUAAUUUUUUUUUCAAUUUCAAGUUUGAUGAUCUUGAAAACUAUUUGUAUAAAGGUAUAAGUGUACCUACAACAUAUGUCGUAUAGCAGUUAGCUAUAAAUUGAAGAAUUCUUAGAAAACAUCGGACAUAGAAUUACAUCACCAUAAACACUAUUUAUUAUCAUAGAUACACUUGUAUCAAUAGGCAAUGAGGCAUCAAUGACUGCAACCAUGAAGAAUCGAUGAUGAACAUAAUAGAAAAUUCAUUAUUUUUGGUUUGGUCCUUGAAAUUGUUGAUAACAUGAAGGAAGGCAGGGCAAAACGGGGCAGCGGGACAAAAUAAGGUGCCCCAAAAACUUUAUAAACAUCACUCUGGAUUAUAAAAAUGUAUUUUUUAUAUCUAAUUUCGAAGAAAUAUUGAUGCUAAUAAAGAUAUAUCAAUAUAUUGUAAUGUAAAGCCCAAUGAAAUGAAUGAAAUAGAUGCCGAGAGAUAAAUCUUUGGAAUAAAAUGCUGUAUUCUUUAAAAAUGCGGCUUAUUUGUCAGAAAUCCAGUUUCAGACUGACUAUCGUUGUUUACAAAAAGAAAUUCAAAGUUGAAAAACAAAAACGUGUGUCAAAUAAUUGAAUGUAAUUUAGGGGUAGGUUUAGGAGGCAGAUAUUAAUCAAAAGGGCGUUGCCCUAAAAAUAUUACGAUAUCUAUGAUGGUAAUAACUAAAUGUUAGCAUAAUUUUUAUUAUUAAUAUCCAAUGAAAUGUUUGUUAAUUUUUUUUCGCACGGUAACUGAAAAUCUUUCUUAUUUACUUCGAAUACAAAUAAGAAAAAGAAGUUUCAUCGUAUUUUAGUUUCACAAAGCUCGGGCAUUUCUAAUAUACCCGAUAUUAAUAAUUAAUUUAUAACAAUUAAUUGAUAUAUUACAAUAAUUAUUAUAAAUAAUUCAGCGCUAAUGGGAUUUUCGUGUUUCAGCAAAUGAUGGUCGCACUAUCACUUUCGUCCAAAAUGAAAUGACAAAAAGAAACAUAUAAUAAUAAUAAUUCGUAAGGUGAUGUAAGAGCGCAAACAAUGAGUCAGAAAACGAUGUCGUGCAGUAAUUGUUCAAGUCUUAUUUGUUAGUGGUCAAAAUUUAAAUCAAUCCUCAUUAUAUUCAAAAUCUCUGGUUAUCCUACCCCUUUCAAAUGAUAGGGUAAGUAAAUUGCGAGGAAAUCAUAUUGUCCCAUGGUACAAAGAGCAAACGAUUCGAUUCCCAAUCCACACCUGUUAAAAUUUUUGAUAGGCAACAUACUAUAUAUGAAACAAAGGUUUGUUUAUUUUUCAAUAAAGGGAAAAGAAAUAGU